AACUUUGAUAAUUUGCCUUGGAACUGUAAUAAAGCAAUAUUCUGCAUUGUUUGACUGUAAUUUAACAUGAAAUCCGGCAAAUGAGACAGGAAUACGAGAGACCUGUCAUUUAGUAUUACUGGGUUAGGCAUAGGUUUGAAUUUAAAUACAUUGACUUUAGAUAUGUUACAGUAUUAUCAUAUUCAAUUAGUGUUCCCGAUAAAAAAGUAAUUGUAAAAAUUUGUGUUCCCCGAGAUUCGCCGAGCUUCACCUCUCGGAGUCAUAAUUCUGUUAAUGUUUUCAGGAAGGUAUCUAUAUGGGAUGUGACUCAUUAGGAAAUAAAUUCUACGAAAAUAAAUACUACUUCAUUGGAAAGAGUCGCUGGGUGGAAUACAACCCAGAGUUCAAAUUUGAGUAUGACGCAUCACAGAUUGCACCAGAAUGGUACGGGUGGCUUCACUACAAAACAGACAGGGUGCCGACUCAUGAUCCCGCGAAGUAUAAUAUUCGUAGUUGCUGCUGGUACCAUUGUUGGCUCCAACACCAUUCGGAAAAUCUCUCGGGGACAGAUCACGCAUAUUAUCCUUAUAGUACUACGAGACCGAGUAUUUACGUAUGGGAUGGUACAUCUGUUUGCAGCCGUCCAUGCAUGCCUAAAUAGGACAUACAAAGAAUUCAGUUGAAAAUAUACGAUAUAAUUUUAA